CCUACGGGAGGCAGCAGUGGGGAAUAUUGGGCAAUGGAGGAAACUCUGACCCAGCAACGCCGCGUGAAUGAUGAAGGUCUUCGGAUUGUAAAGUUCUUUUCUAAGGGAAGAAGAAAGUGACGGUACCUUAGGAAUAAGCCUCGGCUACCUACGUGCCAGCAGCCGCGGUAAUACGUAGGAGGCGGGCGUUAUCCGGACUGACUGGGCGGAAAGGGGGCGUAGGGGGUUUGUCAAGUGAGGAGCGUAACGCCAAGGCUUAACCUUGGAAGUACUACUAAAACUGUUGGACUUGAGUGCAGGAGGGGCAACCGGAAUUCCAAGUGUAGCGGUGGAAUGCGUAGAUAUUAGGAGGAACACCAGUGGCGAAGGCGGGUUGCUAGACUGUAACUGACACUGAGGCACGAAAGCGUGGGGAGCAAACAGGAUUAGAUACCCGUGUAGUC
rnacentral:rRNA from 1 species